rnacentral:rRNA from 1 species
UGCCGCGUGUGUGAAGAAGGUCUUCGGAUUGAAAGCACUUUAAGGGAGGAAGGGCAGUUACCUAAUACGUGAUUGUUUUGACGUUACCGACAGAAUAAGCCGGCUAACUCUGUGCCAGCAGCCGCGGUACAGAGGGUGCAAGCGUUAAUCGGAAUUACUGGGCGUAAAGCGCGCGUAGGUGGUUUGUUAAGUGGAUGUGAAAGCCCCGGGCUCAACCUGGGAACUGCAUCCAAAACUGGCAAGCUAGAGUAUGGUAGAGGGUGGUGGAAUUUCCUGUGUAGCGGUGAAUUCGGUAGAUAUGGAACACCAGUGGCGAAGGCGACCACCUGGACUGAUACUGCACUGAGGUGCGAAA